CCUGAACGCUGGCGGCGUGGCUAAGACAUGCAAGUCGCACGGCCGUAGCAAUACGGCAGUGGCGAACGGGUAAGUAAUGAAUCGCUAACGUACCCCGGACUCCGGGAUAGCCAUCCGAAAGGGUGGGGUAAUACCGGAUGACAUGACCGAACCGCAUGGUUUGGUCCUCAAAGGUCCGCCGGUCUGGGAGCGGGCGAUUUCGUAUCAGCUAGUUGGUGAGGUAACGGCUCACCAAGGCUUUGACGCGUAGCCGGACUGAGAGGUUGGCCGGCCACAUUGGGACUGAGACACUGCCCAGACUCCUACGGGGGGCGUGCAGUAACGAAUCUUCCGCAAUGCACGCAAGUGUGACGGAGCGACGCCGCGUGUAGGAUGAAGCCCUUCGGGUGUAAACUACUGUCAGGGGUAGAAGUNUGAUCAACCCCAGAGGAAGGGACGGGCUAACUCUGUGCCAGCAGCCGCCGCUGUAAU
rnacentral:rRNA from 1 species